AUGCUAGAUGUUCAAACGCUCCUGGAACUUGCUAGACGCAACAAACAAGCGGGAUCAAAAGGAAGGAGGAAUGUUGCAGCUCCACCCUACUGCUGCGACCAGGACCUCGACCAGGCUUACUAUUUCAACCAAGUCUAUGUUAACCAACACUACUACCUCGACGCUUCCUGCGACCAAGUGAAAACCAGCAACGACUACUUCCUUGAGCAAGUCGGCUUCAUCUGCUACCCCAACCUCGCCAGGCUUCGCCUCAACUACGGCACCCACCGCAACCUCGGCGAAGUCAUGAAGCAUCAAGUACCAUGGGAUCCAGGAGGUUCGCCAUGGCAUCAGCUUGAGGUCAAGCUGAAUUUUAAGGAGUGGGGAAUGUUAGUGAACCCUACUAGUGUGCUGGGCUGGGCCAUAUGCUGCUCGGCUUGA
rnacentral:rRNA from 1 species